AAGUGGGACUCUGAGACAUGGAAUGGGGACAUAUAUGUAGACACUGAGAAGUGUCCCACUCUCUUUGUUGAAAGGUGGAAGUGGCCCCUUCUACUUGUUCAAAGACUAUGCAGAGGCCUUAAAUGAAUCAGGUGCACUAUAAGAAAAUGCUUGCCUUCCCCAGGAUUUGCAACCACUUGGACACUAGACUCAUUAAUAGGGCAAGAGUUCAGCAUAACCAGAAUAACUCUACUGGAGAUCUGGUCCUGCUGAAGAGAGGGAUCAUAUAUCAAAGGAAAUGCAGGACGUGAUUCAUGUGUGCAAGUAGGAGAGUGUGGAAGUGAAUCAUCCGCAUGCCGGAUCAAGGACAGUCAAAUAAAAGCUGGAGAAAGAAGAGAUUAUCAAUAUGAGAUCCCUUUUCUGUGACACAAGAUUAAACACCAUGGCAAUGGCUCUGAGUGACAGGUUUAGUAAGCUGCUAGGAAGGUUCCUGGAAGCAUGAAAAAAGUGAUGAUGCAUAUUAAACAAAGUGAAGAUGCUAUAACUUCCAUGGAAGUCUAUAGAGAAAAUAUUUCAAGGACCCAGGGGAUUUGGCAUGCCAGAAUGUAUUUACUGUAUAAAACUGGGAAACCCACUAAUGUGUACAUUCCUUGGGAGGGCUUAGAGGACACUUUAUCAAAGCAGUAGGAAUGAGCUGGUGAGGAAGGUGUCAGUAUUGUUGAGAAGCCCAGUGGUGCUGUCCUUUAUGGGCAGGGUUGACAGUAGGAGAUGCUGUAAUUGUGCCUCCCAGGAGCAAUGUGGAUGAUAGGAUUUUAGAAUAGCAGAGGCCAACAGACAGCACUUAACCAAUGGAAAUUAGAAGGGCAUAAUUAGCAUAAUGCAAAGCAACUUGGGAUGACAGUCAGGGGAACCUGAUCCACAGGGAUUUACGGUGAUGGCUAAUAGAACAUGAUGUCCAUAAGAAUGGGAAAGAUGGGAACUCAGUGACAAUAUUAUUAAUAUACAUACCCUAAGAAAUCAAGAACAGACAAGCAGAAAACAAGAAGCUGACCCAACAGGAAGUCUCCUGAUCUUGCCCAGUUUCCAGACCGAAGUCAUUUCUCAGUUACAGCAUCUACAGACAGAGAGUCCAGAGCCCCAUGAAGAAAGACUCUACCACAGUGUGUACGGUAAUUCUCCCUCCGACCUUCCUUAAAGGGACCUCCAGAAAUUACUCAGGGUCGUACUUCAAAGUCAUACUUCUU
rnacentral:lncRNA from 10 species